rnacentral:lncRNA from 1 species
GUUUAAUGUCAUAUUAUUGCAUAGGAAAUGGUAGGCAUAUGUACCAUUUAAUAAAAACAGAUUGUGUCAUUACUAUUGCACUAGUUAAACUUUAUGUUAUAUUAUUGCACUAUUGUAUAUACAUUUAAAACAUUAACAAACUAUCUUAACCAUACAUAAUAUUAAAAAAACAUAACAGAUAAAAAAUUGUAUAAACAGCUGGAAUACCUAUAAACUUGUAGCACCAAAACAUAACUUUUGCUAUGAAAACAUUAAGUCAGAAGUUUAUAUAAUAGGGGAUAUG